AGAACGAACGCUGGCGGCAUGCCUAACACAUGCAAGUCGAACGCUCUUGGGGCUUCGGUCUCAGGGGAGUGGCGCACGGGUGAGUAGCGCGUGGGAACCUGCCCUGUUGUGGGGGAUAACCGAGGGAAACUUCGGCUAAUACCGCAUAAGCCGGUUGUCUUGAAGGAGAUGGCCGGGAAAGAUUUAUCGCGACAGGAGGGGCCCGCGUCGGAUUAGCUAGUUGGUGGGGUAACGGCCCACCAAGGCGGUGAUCCGUAGCUGGUCUGAGAGGAUGAUCAGCCACACUGGGACUGAGACACGGCCCAGACUCCUACGGGAGGCAGCAGUGGGGAAUAUUGGACAAUGGGCGCAAGCCUGAUCCAGCAAUGCCGCGUGAGUGAUGAAGGCCUUAGGGUUGUAAAGCUCUUUCGCCCGCGACGAUGAUGACGGUAGCGGGAGAAGAAGCCCCGGCUAACUUCGUGCCAGCAGCCGCGGUAA
rnacentral:rRNA from 1 species